rnacentral:rRNA from 1 species
GAUCUAGUGAAUACAUAGCUAGCAAGAGGUAGACGCAGUGAACUGAAACAUCUUAGUAGCUGCAGGAAGAGAAAGAAAUAUCGAUUCCCUGAGUAGCGGCGAGCGAAAAGGGAAGAGCCCAAACCAACAAGCUUGCUUGUUGGGGUUGUAGGACUGAACAUUAGAGUUACCAAAGUGCGACGUAGUCGCAACAGUUGGGAAGCUGUGCCAUAGAGGGUGAAAGCCCCGUAGACGAAACGUCACACUCUCUGUUCAG